GGCCUCGUAGUACAAUGGAUAGUAUAAGGGUCUCCGAAGCCCUGGAUCCGCGUUCGAUUCGCGGCGAGGCUACCC
rnacentral:tRNA from 1 species